GUUACAAACCGCCUCCAGAGAGCCUGUUGUACACCAGACCAGUGGAGCCAGACGGCAGCCAGAGCCCAUCAUCAUCCUCAUCUGGUUGUAAGUAGGCAAUCUAGUAUAUAUCAUUGGAUUCAAGUAUACCACUGUGAAGAUUCCACUCCAAUUUGACGUCUCAGGAUCUCCUGUCUUCUUAAUAUAUCUCACCAUUACGGACUUUUUG